rnacentral:rRNA from 1 species
GAUGAACGCUGGCGGCGUGCCUAAUACAUGCAAGUCGAGCGAACAGACGAGGAGCUUGCUCCUCUGACGUUAGCGGCGGACGGGUGAGUAACACGUGGAUAACCUACCUAUAAGACUGGGAUAACUUCGGGAAACCGGAGCUAAUACCGGAUAAUAUAUUGAACCGCAUGGUUCAAUAGUGAAAGACGGUUUUGCUGUCACUUAUAGAUGGAUCCGCGCCGCAUUAGCUAGUUGGUAAGGUAACGGCUUACCAAGGCAACGAUGCGUAGCCGACCUGAGAGGGUGAGCGGCCACACUGGAACGGAGACACGGUCCAGACUCCUACGGGAGGCAGCAGUAGGGAAUCUGCCGCAAUGGGCGAAAGCCUGACGGAGCAACGCCGCGUGAGUGAUGAAGGUCUUCGGAUCGUAAAACUCUGUUAUUAGGGAAGAACAAAUGUGUAAGUAACUAUGCACGUCUUGACGGUACCUAAUUAGAAAGCCACGGCUAACUACG